UACGUAGGGGGCAAGCGUUGUCCGGAUUUAUUGGGCGUAAAGAGCGUGUAGGCGGCCAUGUAGGUCCGUUGUGAAAACUCGAGGCUCAACCUUUGAAAGCCGAUGGAUACUGUGAGGCUAGAGUCCGGAAGAGGCGAGUGGAAUUCCUGGUGUAGCGGUGGAAUGCGCAGAUAUCAGGAGGAACACCAAUAGCGAAGGCAGCUCGCUGGGACGGUACUGACGCUAAGGCGCGAAAGCGUGGGGAGCGAACAGG
rnacentral:rRNA from 1 species